CUUUUCAAACCCAACCAUUAAAGAUUACUAUAAGGCCUAUGUCAAGGCUAUUUUGAUGAGAAAGAACUCUAUGAGUGGAGUUAGAUAUUCUGAUGAACCAGCAAUUUUUGCUUGGGAGCUCAUGAAUGAACCUCGUUGUGCAUCUAGUUCAUCAGCUCCUUUUCUUCAGGCAUGGAUAACUGAGAUGGCUGCUUUUAUCAAAAGUUUGGCCAUAAAAUCCCUCUACUCCAACAGUCACUAGGUGUUUUUUG
rnacentral:misc_RNA from 1 species